CCUUAAGAUUUAAUUUCUUCUAAGACAAUCUUAAAUUUAUAAGAAUUAAUUAAUUAAUGAAUAAUUCAUUAUUUGAAUUAAUGCUUGAAGUGGAUAAGACUUUUUAACUUAUUAAUCUGUACUUCUUAUGAUGAUAUCUUACCAGGAAGGUGACAAAGAUCUUUGUGGGAGAUUUUGGAACUAUCUUAUAAUAGGGUUGGAUGCUCAAGAAUGUUUUGGUGAUUCUCACUUUAAAUCUUGGCCAAGGAACAUUACUUUGCCUAUAAUUGUUAAAAUCAAGGAUCAACAACAUCAAUGGAAGAAGUUAAAGUUACCUCGAAG